UACAGAGGGGGCAAGCGUUGUUCGGAAUUACUGGGCGUAAAGGGUGCGUAGGCGGCGCAGAAAGUAGGGUGUGAAAUCCCUCGGCUCAACCGAGGAACUGCGCCCUAAACUACUGUGCUCGAGGGAGGUAGAGGUGAGCGGAACUUAGGGUGGAGCGGUGAAAUGCGUUGAUAUCCUAAGGAACACCGGUGGCGAAAGCGGCUCACUGGACCUCUUCUGACGCUGAGGCACGAAAGCUAGGGUAGCGAACGGG
rnacentral:rRNA from 1 species